CUACGGGCGGCUGCAGUUAGGAAUAAUCUACAAUACGCGCAAGCGUGAUAGUUUGAAUCAGAGUGCGUUUCAACAUGAAAUGCUUUUGCCAAAUGUAAAAAGUUUGGCGAAUAAGGACUGGGUAAGACGAGUGCCAGCCGCCGCGGUAAUACUCGCGGUCCAAGUCGGAGCCAUUUUUAUUGGGUCUAAAACAUCCGUAGCUUGCUUUGUAAGUUCCUUGUGAAAUUCUAUAUCUUAAAUAUGGAGCGCGCGGGGAGUACUGCUAGGCUAGAGACUGGAAGACGUAACGAGUACGUUCUAAGUAAUGGUAAAAUAUGUUAAUCUAGGACGGACUAACAACAGCGAAGGCACGUUACGAGGACAGUUCUGACAGUAAGGGAUGAAGGCUCGGGGCGCAAAACGGAUUAGAUACCCCCGUAGUC
rnacentral:rRNA from 1 species